rnacentral:rRNA from 1 species
GCCUUUGAAACUGGUAGUCUUGAAUUAUUAUGAAGUGGUUAGAAUAAGUAGUGUAGCGGUGAAAUGCAUAGAUAUUACUUAGAAUACCAAUUGCGAAGGCAGAUCACUAAUAAUAUAUUGACGCUGAGGGACGAAAGCGUGGGGAGCGAACAGGAUUAGAUACCCUGGUAGUCCACGCCGUAAACGAUGGAUACUAGCUGUUCGGAUUUAUCUGAGUGGCUAAGCGAAAGUGAUAAGUAUCCCACCUGGGGAGUACGUUCGCAAGAAUGAAACUCAAAGGAAUUGACGGGGGCCCGCACAAGCGGUGGAGCAUGUGGUUUAAUUCGAUGA